rnacentral:rRNA from 1 species
GAGUUUGAUCAUGGCUCAGAUUGAACGCUGGCGGCAUGCCUUACACAUGCAAGUCGAACGGCAGCAUGAUCUAGCUUGCUAGAUUGAUGGCGAGUGGCGAACGGGUGAGUAAUACAUCGGAACGUGCCCUGUAGUGGGGGAUAACUAGUCGAAAGAUUAGCUAAUACCGCAUACGACCUGAGGGUGAAAGUGGGGGACCGCAAGGCCUCAUGCUAUAGGAGCGGCCGAUGUCUGAUUAGCUAGUUGGUGGGGUAAAGGCCCACCAAGGCGACGAUCAGUAGCUGGUCUGAGAGGACGAUCAGCCACACUGGGACUGAGACACGGCCCAGACUCCUACGGGAGGCAGCAGUGGGGAAUUUUGGACAAGUGGGCGAAAGCCUGAUCCAGCAAUG